rnacentral:rRNA from 1 species
UACCAGCACCCCGAGUGGUCGGGACGAUUAUUGGGCCUAAAGCAUCCGUAGCCGGUCCUACAAGUCUUCCGUUAAAUCCACCUGCUUAACAGAUGGGCUGCGGAAGAUACUAUAGGGCUAGGAGGCGGGAGAGGCAAGCGGUACUCAGUGGGUAGGGGUAAAAUCCUCUGAUCCAUUGAAGACCACCAGUGGCGAAGGCGGCUUGCCAGAACGCGCUCGACGGUGAGGGAUGAAAGCUGGGGAGCAACCGG